UACUGAAUAUAUGAAAUAGCUAGUACAGCCGAACUAGUAAUUACACUGCAUUUAGAUGAUACAUGUUGUUACAACCCUAGAGGUCAAAUGCUUGUCUGUCUUUUAAUAACCCUCUUUUUACCUGUGUGUGUGAGAUUGGGUGCAGGUGUGUUUGUGUGUGUGAGAUUGGGUGCAGGUGUGUUUGAGUGGUUGCAGGUUGCCCUGGGAGCUGAUUGGUUCCUGUCUGACAACAAGAGUUUAAAGGCAGGCUCUGCCCAGUUCCUGGGGACUCUCCUCCAUUGACCCAGACUGCCAGCAUGCUUGUCGAAAAUGUGUUUGUUUCGAAUAAAACUUUGUUAAAACGUUCGCUGCUGGUGGUGUUUGGGGAACAGGAAGAGGGGAGUCUCAAUUUCUUGUUGCGCCAGGGUUUCCCCUAGGCCCUGGCUGUAACAAUUGGGGGCUCGUCCGGGAUCUGAAUGUCCAUGAGGUGAGGUAGAUUUGGUUUGGUUUAGUUUGUUUGUGUAAGUGGCCUUUAGUUAAGUGUAGUGGUCAUCUUUUUUGUUAAGUUGUUGCUGCAUGUUGUGUUUCUGACUGAGCACCCUAACCAGAAAGCUGCCAGGCAUUUUCAAGGAUUUGCCAUGUUUGUUAUUUUGCCUUUCUUAUUUUUGGUGGUAAUCCUGAGUGGGGGUACGCUUCAGUGAUUCGCAGUUGACUAGAUUCCUGGUCUUCGGUGAUUCACUGAGUUCAGCGUUUAAAGACGCCUCGAGCUCGGCAAGCCACUGAAGACUAGCUAGGUGAGUUAGCCACCUUUUUAUAGGCAGGUAAAGUUGGGGUGUCUCUGCAGUUUGUUUCCCUUCGUUUAUACUUUGCACAGCAACGUAGUUUUGUGUGAGAUGGCUGCUUUUGUGUUGGUCACGUUGUGAUGUGUGGCCCUAAUUAAUACUUGUGCGCAGUAACUUUUGUGACCUUUUGGUUGUGGUAACUGGACUCCAAUUUUGUUGGGUCACUUGUGGUUGCAGCUUAAGUGUAAGCUGGCAACAUUUUGUGUAGUGGUGACUACAGAGUGAUGCCUUUUGUGUGUGGUUGUUGCAGUCCACUUUUGGUGUGGUCAAACGGGUGUUACU
rnacentral:lncRNA from 1 species